GACGAACGCUGGCGGCGUGCUUAACACAUGCAAGUCGAACGGAAAGGCCCUGCUUUUGUGGGGUGCUCGAGUGGCGAACGGGUGAGUAACACGUGAGUAACCUGCCCUUGACUUUGGGAUAACUUCAGGAAACUGGGGCUAAUACCGGAUAGGAGCUCCUGCUGCAUGGUGGGGGUUGGAAAGUUUCGGCGGUUGGGGCUGGACUCGCGGCUUAUCAGCUUGUUGGUGGGGUAGUGGCUUACCAAGGCUUUGACGGGUAGCCGGCCUGGGAGGGUGACCGGCCACAUUGGGACUGAGAUACGGACCAGACUCCUACGGGAGGCAGCAGUGGGGAAUAUUGCACAAUGGGCGGAAGCCUGAUGCAGCAACGCCGCGUGCGGGAUGACGGCCUUCGGGUUGUAAACAGCUUUCGCCUGUGACGAAGCGUGAGUGACGGUAAUGGGUAAAGAAGCACCGGCUAACUACGUG
rnacentral:rRNA from 1 species